AAGAAAAAGAAAAUCAUUAAAAAUCAAUUUAGCGGCUAGAAGGUAGCCAAUUUUGAUAAUAUAGAUUUGGUAACAAGAGUAUUGGUCUGCUUAACUGCAUCUGCCAAUAAGAGUUUAUGUGACUUCAACAAUAAAGAACAUUUGGUAAUGAAACAUAACAAAAAGUUCCCAAAUCUUAGAGAUUUUGAGAACCUUUGAGCUAGUUCCUGAACCUGGAGAACAAGCAGAUCAACUGAAUCUUGACUUAACUUAACAUUAAGAUUUAAGAUAUUAUGAAAAAGGCUAAAUAAUGAUUCUGUCCAUACCAGUUCAUGGGAUAUCAGACAUUGGUGGCAAGGAAGACAAAUGAAUCUUUUCUCAUCUUCCCCUGCACAUAGCAGUUUUUGGCAGAACGAAGAAACAUGAACAGGAUGCAAGCAUUCCUUAACAAUUCUUGUGAUGACAUCACAUAGAGGGUUAUUGAUACCGCCAAUUCUCAUUAUAAGUGGAAACAAUAGUGCAUAUUCAGCAGCUCGUUGAUAAAGCUUGCAGUAGUCUAUCGUUGCAGUCACAAGCACACGAGAGGCUGGCUCUUCAAGAAUCAGGAACCUUGGAAGGAUAAUUGAACUAAGAAUUUGGCUUGGCAAAGCAAGCUCAUCUUGAUCAAUUACAUUUGAAAGAUGAGAAAUAAGUAAGGAAGCAAUCUCGUCAUCCGCUUUCCAAGGUUCAAUCAGACCAAGAACUGCAAAAGAAUCCACUCCUUUUUCUAGACAAAGCUGGCAAAUUUCAUUUGCUAAUUGUACUGUUUUAGGUCGAGACUCAAAAUUCAAUACUUGGGCUCUCAAACUAGCUGCCCUGUUUUGAAUUUCCAGUGCCAAAGGAGCAUUCACAGGACGAUCAACCUCCAUUUCCACUACAACUUCCUCCAAACCUCCACCCUCUCCAGCUUCACUCAAUGAAUGUUGUUCAUUUUCAUGACUACCGAAUAAUUCUCUUGAAUUCAAUUCAUCAGGCGACAAAGGCAGCCAAGGGAAAACCGAGUCAUCAGCACUUGCCAUGCUCUUAAGCCAACCUGGCAAUGACUCAAACUCUUCAUCCACUUUCUGUUCUUCAGAAUCCAAACUCAAACCAGAAAUCCAUUGGUAAUUUGACUCGGACACUUCAUCGAGCAGAUGGCGGGCAGACCUCUUGACCCAGAAAUCAACACCCUUAUUGUCUGUCAACAUACUCCUGGCCAACAUAGACAAGUCCCGCUUGCAAAACCUCUCGUGAUCAAAGGCAAGAAAGGAUAGAAUUCUGGACUGCACCAUAUCCGGCAGUGUUUGUAUAAACAUGACCCUCUUUGCGAUUGGAGGAGAUGAGCUACUGAUAAUGGCAUCGAUAGGUUUGGUAAGUAGAGAGAGGAAAGAGCAUGUGGUGAUCGGAUUUGAUGAUGAGGCAUUGAAAGAUUGCUGUAACCACAGAGAUGCUUCGGUUUCAGGCGCUGAGGAGUUGAGAAAAAUGUCAAAGAGGGGAACCCAUUGCUCCAUUUCUGUGCGAUUGUCUUCUCCGUUGCGAAGAAAUGAAAAUUUCGUGAAAUUCUAGCAAGACGCGGGAAAGUAUAACCUAAACCGUUUUGUAUCGAUGAUGAGAAAAUUCUGUAAUUUCAUUUGCUGUGGAGGAUUUUUU
rnacentral:misc_RNA from 1 species